AUGCUUAGUAGCGGCGAGUGAGCGGCAAAAGCUCAAAUUUGAAAUCUGGCACUUUCAGUGUCCGAGUUGUAAUUUGAAGAAGGUAUCUUUGGGUCUGGCUCUUGUCUAUGUUUCUUGGAACAGAACGUCACAGAGGGUGAGAAUCCCGUGCGAUGAGAUGUCCCAGACCUAUGUAAAGUUCCUUCGAAGAGUCGAGUUGUUUGGGAAUGCAGCUCUAAGUGGGUGGUAAAUUCCAUCUAAAGCUAAAUAUUGGCGAGAGACCGAUAGCGAACAAGUACAGUGAUGGAAAGAUGAAAAGAACUUUGAAAAGAGAGUGAAAAAGUACGUGAAAUUGUUGAAAGGGAAGGGCUUGAGAUCAGACUUGGUAUUUUGUAUGUUACUCUCUCGGGGGUGGCCUCUACAGUUUACCGGGCCAGCAUCAGUUUGAGCGGUAGGAUAAGUGCAAAGAAAUGUGGCACUGCUUCGGUAGUGUGUUAUAGUCUUUGUCGAUACUGCCAGCUUAGACUGAGGACUGCGGCUUCGGCCUAGGAUGUUGGCAUAAUGAUCUUAAGUCGCCCGUCUUGACCCC
rnacentral:rRNA from 1 species